rnacentral:rRNA from 1 species
UACGUAGGGUGCGAGCGUUAAUCGGAAUUACUGGGCGUAAAGCGUGCGCAGGCGGCUUCGCAAGUCAGACGUGAAAUCCCCGGGCUUAACCUGGGAAUGGCGUUUGAAACUACGGAGCUGGAGUGUGGCAGAGGGAGGUAGAAUUCCACGUGUAGCGGUGAAAUGCGUAGAUAUGUGGAGGAAUACCGAUGGCGAAGGCAGCCUCCUGGGCCAACACUGACGCUCAUGCACGAAAGCGUGGGGAGCGAACAGG